rnacentral:rRNA from 1 species
AUGGCCAAAACUUCAACUGGUUCUGAAAGGUUUCAUAUCCAGAUCGAAGAGCAAGCUCGUGCUACAGCAGCCACCCAGGGGCAAAACUCUCAGCUCAGCCAGCAGGUCAACGAAUUAGAAGAUCAACUACAAGCUGAACGUGCAAACACACAAGAGAGGAUUAACUUGGAGCGUGCUGAGAGAGAACAACUUGAGGAGAGGUUAAAAGAAGAGUGUGCUGAAAGGGAAGGAUUGUUGCAAGAGGAGCGAACAUCAAGACUGGAAUUUGAAAGAAACAUGAUGGCAAAGUUUGUAGAAUUGAGCCAACAGAUGGGAACCCAAUAG